rnacentral:rRNA from 1 species
AACGAACGCUGGCGGCAGGCUUAACACAUGCAAGUCGAACGCCCCGCAAGGGGAGUGGCAGACGGGUGAGUAACGCGUGGGAAUCUACCUAGUUCUACGGAACAACAGAGGGAAACUUCUGCUAAUACCGUAUACGCCCUAUGGGGGAAAGGUUUAUCGGAAUUAGAUGAGCCCGCGUAAGAUUAGCUAGUUGGUGAGGUAAUGGCUCACCAAGGCGACGAUCUUUAGCUGGUCUGAGAGGAUGAUCAGCCACACUGGGACUGAGACACGGCCCAGACUCCUACGGGAGGCAGCAGUGGGGAAUAUUGGACAAUGGGCGCAAGCCUGAUCCAGCCAUGCCGCGUGAGUGAUGAAGGCCUUAGGGUUGUAAAGCUCUUUCAGUGGGGAAGAUAAUGACGGUACCCACAGAAGAAGCCCCGGCUAACUUCGUGCCAGCCGCCGCGGUAAUAC